rnacentral:rRNA from 1 species
AUUGAACGCUGGCGGCGUGCUUAACACAUGCAAGUCGAUCGGUAACGCGGGGGCAACCCUGGCGACGAGAGGCGGACGGGUGAGGAACGCUUGGGAAUCUGCCUAUCAGCGGGGGACAACACGGGGAAACUCGUGCUAAUACCGCAUACGCUCUACGGAGGAAAGCCGGGGACCGCAAGGCCUGGCACUGAUAGAUGAGCCCAAGGCGGAUUAGCUAGUUGGCGGGGUAACGGCCCACCAAGGCGACGAUCCGUAGCUGGUCUGAGAGGACGAUCAGCCACACUGGGACUGAGACACGGCCCAGACUCCUACGGGAGGCAGCGGUGGGGAAUAUUGGACAAUGGGGGAAACCCUGAUCCAGCGACGCCGCGUGGGUGAAGAAGGCCUGCGGGUUGUAAAGCCCUUUCGGUAGGGACGAAAGCUCUCGACCUAACACGUCGGGAGGUUGACUUAACCUACAAAAGAAGCACCGGCUAACUCUGUGCCAGCCGCCGCAGUAACAC